rnacentral:rRNA from 1 species
UGGGGAAUAUUGGACAAUGGGCGCAAGCCUGAUCCAGCAAUGCCGCGUGAGUGAUGAAGGCCUUAGGGUUGUAAAGCUCUUUCGCACGCGACGAUGAUGACGGUAGCGUGAGAAGAAGCCCCGGCUAACUUCGUGCCAGCAGCCGCGGUAAUACGAAGGGGGCUAGCGUUGUUCGGAAUUACUGGGCGUAAAGGGCGCGUAGGCGGCCUGUUUAGUCAGAAGUGAAAGCCCCGGGCUCAACCUGGGAAUAGCUUUUGAUACUGGCAGGCUUGAGUUCCGGAGAGGAUGGUGGAAUUCCCAGUGUAGAGGUGAAAUUCGUAGAUAUUGGGAAGAACACCGGUGGCGAAGGCGGCCAUCUGGACGGACACUGACGCUGAGGCGCGAAAGCGUGGGGAGCAAACAGGAUUAGAUACCCUGGUAGUCCACGCCGUAACGAUGAUGCUAGCGUCGGGGUGCAUGCACUUCGGUGUCGCCGCUAACGCAUUAAGCAUUCCGCCU